GACGAACGCUGGCGGCGUGCCUAAUACAUGCAAGUAGAACGCUGAAGGAGGAGCUUGCUCUUCUGGAUGAGUUGCGAACGGGUGAGUAACGCGUAGGUAACCUGCCUGGUAGCGGGGGAUAACUAUUGGAAACGAUAGCUAAUACCGCAUAACAGUAGAUGUUGCAUGACAUUUGCUUAAAAGGUGCAAUUGCACCACUACCAGAUGGACCUGCGUUGUAUUAGCUAGUUGGUGGGGUAACGGCUCACCAAGGCGACGAUACAUAGCCGACCUGAGAGGGUGAUCGGCCACACUGGGACUGAGACACGGCCCAGACUCCUACGGGAGGCAGCAGUAGGGAAUCUUCGGCAAUGGACGGAAGUCUGACCGAGCAACGCCGCGUGAGUGAAGAAGGUUUUCGGAUCGUAAAGCUCUGUUGUAAGAGAAGAACGAGUGUGAGAGUGGAAAGUUCACACUGUGACGGUAUCUUACCAGAAAGGGACGGCUAACUAUGUG
rnacentral:rRNA from 1 species